UUCUGGUGGACAGUGCCUCAGCCAAGCCAUGGCCACACGCCUCAGAUCGGCCGGCAGGAGCUGCACUGUCAUCGGGGGCUCGGGCUUCCUGGGCCAGCACAUGGUGGAGCAGCUGCUGGCCAAGGGCUACAGAGUCAACGUCUUCGACCUCCAGCAGAGCUUUGAGAGCCAGCAGGUGACCUUCUACCGGGGGGACCUGUGUGACAAGGAGGCUCUGCUGCCAGCCCUGCAGGGGGUGUCUGUGGUGUUCCACUGUGCCUCACCAGCCCCUUCCAGUGACAACAGGCAGCUGUUCUACAAAGUGAAUUUUCUGGGAACCAAGGCAGUGAUUGCAGCCUGCAGAGAAGCUGGAGUGCAGAAAUUGGUGCUAACCAGCAGUGCCAGUGUCGUUUUUGAGGGCACAGACAUCAAAAAUGGCUCAGAAGAUCUCCCCUAUGCACAAAAACCUAUUGAUUACUACACAGAGACCAAGAUCCUGCAGGAGAAGGAGGUGCUCAGUGCCAACGACCCAGACAACAAUUUCCUCACCACUGCCAUCCGUCCCCAUGGGAUUUUUGGUCCCAGAGACCCUCAGCUGGUUCCCAUCCUCAUCCAGGCAGCUCAGAGUGGCAAAAUGAAAUUCAUCAUUGGGGAUGGAAAGAACUUGGUGGAUUUUACCUACGUGGAGAACGUGGUGCAUGGGCACAUCCUGGCUGCAGAGAAGCUGCACAAAGACUCUCCCCUGUGUGGGAAGGCUUUCCACAUCACCAAUGAUGAGCCAAUUCCCUUCUGGACCUUCAUGUCCCGCAUCCUGACCGGCCUGGGCUACGACCCUCCCAAGUACCACAUCCCCUACUGGCUGGCCUAUUACCUGGCCCUGCUGCUGGCCCUGCUGCUGGCCCUGCUCAGGCCCCUGGUGGCCAUCAAGGCCACCUUCACACCCAUGAGGGUGGCCCUGGCUGGGACAUUCCACUACUACAGCUGCGAGAGGGCCAAGAGAGCCCUGGGCUACAGGCCUGUGGUCAGCCUGGACGAGGCCAUAGCCAGGACUGUGCAGAGCUACCCCAGCCUGAGGGCCUGAGAGCCCUGCCUGAGCCCCCCCUCCCUCAUCUCCACCACUCUGGCACCAAUUCCCAGCAACCUGGAGUUUUCCUGAGCUCUCUCCUCCUCCUCAUUCCCCCGUGUGGGAGUUGGUUUCUUGGAUGUGACUUGGUGUUUGGAAACAGCUGCUGAGCUCUCUGGGCUGGGAGUAAACACCCUGCUGUGCCCUCUUCCAUCCCAAGCAGGCACACCAGCAUUCCUGCUGCCUUCCCUCCACCCUUGGCCCGUGUUUUGUUGCUCUGGUGACAGCAGCCACCCCUUCCCAGAGCUGCAGGCUGCCUCACAAACCCUUCCCCUGCCUGCCUCCCCUCUGGGCUUUGGCUUUGCUCUCCACAGGAGAACCCUGUGCCAAAAAGGAGCUCUGCCACCAUCUCUUCCAUCAUUGCAGCUCUUCUGGUUUUCCCUCCAUGAUCAGGGUGUGAUCUGGCUUCUCCCUGAGGCAGCAGAAGGAAUAAGGAGUGUGCUUUGUCCAUGUGGGACUGGUUUCUGUCCCAGGGGUGACUUCCCAGCUCUGUGAAGGGCAGAUCCCACUCUCAGCACAAGCAGGAUGUUCAUGAUUCCCUUUUGGGGGCAGAGAUUUUUGGGAGCAGCCCCAGCAGUGUUUUAGCACAGCUCCCUUCCCACAAGAGCUGCAGUGCUGGGAGGAUCCUGCAGCACCAAGCUCCUCCCUGCCCUGUCCCAGGGAUUUUUUGGUGCUCUGAUCACUUAGUCCAUGAAAAAGCCUCUUUUCCACAAGGAAAUGGACACCAAGCAAUGGUCCCCCAGCUGUUCCCUGUGACUUGUAUAUUAGAUAUCCUCUGCCCCCUAAUCCUCCUAAGCUCUUCAGUUCUGGUUUGGUUUUAAAUGAGGGGUUUGGGUUGAAGCUGGAAUUUCCCCCUGUGCUCCCUGGGAGUUCUGGUGUUUGGAAUUUCAGAAGAAUUAUGGAAUCACAGGAUGGUUUGGGGUGGGAAGGACCUUAAAGCUCACCCCAUUCCACUCCCACUAUUCCAGCAGUUUGGGACAGUGGAUGGGCUUAAGGGUCCCUUCCCACCCAAACCAUUCAGGGAUUUUUAUGCUCCCAGUCUGGAUUUUGUGUGUGUCAGCAAGCAGAGGCUGUGAAGUGGAAUUGCUGUUAUCAGACCUCCAGGAUCCCAGGCAGGUGCAGCCUGUCCUUGUCAGGAACCCUCAACAGGAGCUCCCCACGACUUCAAAGAGUUCCCUGGAGCACUCUCAUCAAACUCCUUAUCUCCUCUCUCUGCUCUCCUGCCUUUUCCCUGCUGCAGUUCCUCAUUUUGCUGACCUGAGACUGGUUUUGGCAGUGGGAGAGAUGAAGGGAGAUCUUCUGUUGCUUAUCCUGGAGGAAGGAGAGGGAGGGAAGGCAGAGAGGAUUAAAAGUGGAGUUAAGUAAUUCUGCAAGGUGAGCAGUGGUGGUCAAAGAAACUUCCAAACUUCCCUGGGACAGCUCUUGGGACAAUUGGUCAUGGAACCGUCUGGUCAGGGCAGAUAAAAAACAGAACAAGUCUGAUCUUUAGCAGAUAGUUUGUGAUUGAUCACACAAAGGCAGGAAAUCUGAUUCUGCAAAAAAACCUUUCAGACUGUGGAAAACCCCUUUUUUUUCUUUUACAAACUGGUAUACAAUAUUCAAUAUACAACAUUCAUAACAGGGGGGUUUAAACAGAGUGGGUUUAAUAAUAUAUUUCCCUUUUUCUAGGUCCAUGUUCUUUUCUUAUUUUAAGUAUUCUGAUUUACACAAACUCCAAAACUUCUGUGAUUAACACGAGUCAUUUAUCAUUUAUCACAUCCAGAGCGGCUUUGGGGUGUCUCUGUGCCUCUGCUGUGCCCUGGCCGUGCUGACAACAACGUUUUGUGUCAGUGCUGAGCUGCAGGUGUGUCCCUGAGCAGGGGCAGCUCGCAGAAUUCCAGCAGGGAACGGCUGGGGAUAGACAGCGCUGCUAUUAGGGAGGUGAGGUCUGGCAGAGCUCUGCCGGUGACACCUCAUGAAAAACCAGUUGGGUUCCCUCGUAACUAAUGGGUGUAGUGGUUUUACACCCUGAGACUCAUCACAGCUCGGCUCUGGGGCUUGGUGGCAGCUCUGCAAAGGCCGCAGCGCUGCAGGGUUACUCACCUGCCCUCCCCCUGCAGCUCCUGGGAGGGGCGGAGCAGGAAAUGUCCCAGAGCAGCUCCCCGCUCUGCUGCUGCGCUUCUCACAGGCAGAAAACGCUGACAAGUGUCCCAGGAUGCUGCCCAAAAACACCGGCUGGGCUGGGAG